rnacentral:rRNA from 16 species
GGUAGUAGCAAAUAUUCAAAUGAGAACUUUGAUGGCCGAAGAGGAGAAAGGUUCCAUGUGAACGGCACUUGCACAUGGGUAAGCCGAUCCUAAGGGACGGGGUAACCCCGGCAGAUAGCGCGAUCACGCGCAUCCCCCGAAAGGCAAUCGGGUUAAGAUUUCCCGAGCCGGGAUGUGGCGGUUAACAGCGACGUUAGGAAGUCCGGAGACGCCGGCGGGGGCCUCGGGAAGAGUUAUUUUUUCUGCUUAACGGCCUGCCAACCCUGGAAACGGUUCAGCCGGAGGUAGGGUCCAGUGGCCGGAAGAGCACCGCACGUCGCGCGGUGUCCGGUGCGCCCCCGGCGGCCCAUGAAAAUCCGAAGGACCGAGUGCCGUUGACGCCCGAUCAUACUCAUAACCGCAUCAGGUCUCCAAGGUGAACAACCUCUGGCC